CUGAAAUGGCAGAAAAAAUCCUUAAGGAAAGCACAUAAUGAGAUAAAAUCCUGCACCUACUCAGGAGACUUUUAAAAUUUGACAGAGCUUAACUUCCAGAUUGAGAGAAGAUUUACUUGAUGGACCACAGCAAUGCUGGCUGUGGAGCUGGAGUUUAUCUGGAGACUUUUCAACCAAGCUGCUAAGGAGAGUGAAGCACACAAGCAAGCCUGCUGCCAAAUCUAUUUUAGGCCAGUGAGCUGCUAGCCGGGACCGGGAGCCGGGAGCAGGGAGCCGGCUGGACGCGCGGACAGGCCCGGCGAGCGCG